rnacentral:lncRNA from 1 species
AGAGAGAGAGAGAGAAAGACAGAGAGCGAGAGAGAGAGAGAGAGAGAGAGAGAGAGAGAGAGAGAGAGAGAGAGAAACAGAGAGCGAGAGUAAAAAGUAAAAACAAGCAGGUUCUCAUGACAAUGAAAGAAUGAGGAAUUCCUCUGACCUAUGAUUUCAACACUCAUAUUCCUCCUAAUUUCAACUCGUUACCGGCUAAACACAAUCCAUUAAGAUUGACAGACAGACAAAAGAGAACGAGAGAGAAAAAAAAGAAAGAGAGAGCGAGAGAGAAUGUCAGAUCCACUGGAUAUGUCAGUGUGUAGGGGCUAAAACCUUUAUCUAUGCACACACAUGUAGGCCUGAAUGUACACACACACACAGGUGACAACAGACAGUAAAGAAGUUGACAACAGACAGUAAAGAAGUUGACAAAAGACAGUAAAGAAGGUGACAACAGACAGUAAAGAAGAAGUUGACAACAGACAGUUAAAUAAGAAGUUGACAACAGACAGUAAAGAAGUUGACAACAGGCAGUAAAGAAGUUGACAACAGACAGUAAAGAAGACGGUGACAACAGACAGUAAAGAAGAAGGUGACAACAGACAGUAAAGAAGAAUCUGACAACAGACAGUAAAGAAGUUGACAACAGACAGUAAAGAAGAAGGUGACAACAGACAGUAAAGAAGAAGCUGACAACAGACAGUAAAGAAGCUGACAACAGGCAGUAAAAGAAGACGGUGACAACAGACAGUAAAGAAGUUGACAACAGACAGUAAAAGAAGAAGCUGACAACAGACAGUAAAGAAGAAGGUGACAACAGACAGUAAAGAAGAAGGUGACAACAGACAGUAAAGAAGGUGACAACAGACAGUAAAAUAAGGUGACAACAG